UAGGCAACAAUGGCAAGCAAACAGGCAAUGAACUCUGCCUUGUUCUCUGCAUUGGUUGUUGUGGUCUUGGCUUCUGCUGUGAAUGGGCAACUAAACCCAUGCCAAGCACCGGCACCAACCCCGACUGGAACUCCAGCCCCAGCACCAGCCCCGGUGGUGACACCGACGCCCGCACCAACUCCAGUCCCGACGCCAUCGCCGGCACCAACACCUUCACCCACCGUUGCCCCUGUCAAUCCGCCAUCUCCGACGCCGCCUCCCAAGUGUUCGCUGGCGUUAAUUA
rnacentral:misc_RNA from 1 species